AUGAAAAUGGCUGCAGCUUUGGCAAAUUGCCUUCUGCGAUGUCCCUGCUUCAGUUCAUUGACAAAUAUCGGAUUUGCUUGCAGGUCUCUGACACUUUCACACUUUGUUGAUCUACAAUGUAUGCAGAUGCAUGAGCUGCUGCACAGAGGUUGAGCCUGAGCGGUAAGAAGGAUCUUUCGCUUUUUACUUGCACAAAAGCGAUGCUGGACCUUUUUAUUCCCACGAAGCUGAUUUUUGUUUUUUUGGGCCACUUUCGAUUCAUCUAUGCGUGGUGAAUUCCCAAUGUGUGUGAUCACUCACAAGCCAAAACUCUCAGGAACAUGCUUUCCAGUUUGCAGGGCAUUUCUACACAUGAACAUUUGAGGCACCAGUAUCUUAUGCUAAGGUUGUUGGGUGGAAAAUAUUUUUUGAAAAAUGUUUUUUGUAUUUUUCGAACAUUUGUUACAACGGAAAAUAAAAGGGAAAUUUUUGGUGGUCAAUGAAAAAUAAA